CUUGCUACAGAUGACGACCGGCGCACGGGUGAGUAACGCGUAUGCAACCUGCCUUUGACAGGGGGAUAGCCCGGAGAAAUCCGGAUUAAUAUCCCAUGGUAUUUACGAAUCGCAUGGUUUGUAAAUUAAAGAUUUUAUCGGUCAAAGAUGGGCAUGCGUGACAUUAGCUAGUUGGUAAGGUAACGGCUUACUAAGGCUGCGAUGUCUAGGGGUUCUGAGAGGAUGAUCCCCCACACUGGUACUGAGACACGGACCAGACUCCUACGGGAGGCAGCAGUGAGGAAUAUUGGUCAAUGGGCGCAAGCCUGAACCAGCCAUCCCGCGUGAAGGAAGACUGCCCUAUGGGUUGUAAACUUCUUUUCUGCACCAAGAAUGGUUACUACGUGUAGUGAUUUGACGGUAGUGCAGGAAUAAGCAUCGGCUAACUCCGUGCCAGCAGCCGCGGUAAUACGGAGGAUGCAAGCGUUAUCCGGAUUCAUUGGGUUUAAAGGGUACGUAGGUGGCCAAUUAAGUCAGUGGUGAAAUCCUGCCGCUUAACGGUAGAACUGCCAUUGAAACUGGUUGGCUUGAGUACAGUUGAGGUAGGCGGAAUGUGUAGUGUAGCGGUGAAAUGCUUAGAUAUUACACAGAACCCCGAUUGCGAAGGCAGCUUACUAAACUGUAACUGACACUGAGGUACGAAAGCGUGGGGAGCGAACAGGAUUAGAUACCCUGGUAGUCCACGCUGUAAACGAUGCUCACUCGCUGUAUGCGAUACAUUGUAUGCGGCCAAGCGAAAGUCUUAAGUGAGCCACCUGGGGAGUACGUUGGCAACAGUGAAACUCAAAGGAAUUGACGGGGGCCCGCACAAGCGGAGGAACAUGUGGUUUAAUUCGAUGAUACGCGAGGAACCUUACCUGGGCUUAAAUGCAGAUUGACAGACGUCGAAAGAUGUUUUUCUUCGGACAGUUUGCAAGGUGCUGCAUGGUUGUCGUCAGCUCGUGCCGUGA
rnacentral:rRNA from 1 species